UAAGGACACUGGAGCUUGAAAUAUAAGCAUACACAUGCACACAGACACACUCAAUAAAGCAAAGAUGUUUUUUCUACCUCCUUCAGGUACUGCCAGUGGUGAGGCUGCAGAAUCCAGACUGGUGAGAUCAGUGAUGGACACCAGCGAUGGAUCACAGGUGCGUAAGACAGAUUCUUGCUGCCCAUCAGAGAGCAUGGUACUCACAGCUGGUUUGCCCUGCUUCAUCUACACAGAAGCAGAGGACAGAAUAAAAAAAAUAAACUCUCCAUCAUCAUCAGACACUUGGGUAAGAGUAAAAUAUCUUCUUUUUACUUGCCCUAUGAUCUGUUGCUGUGGUAGAUACCCCAGCCCAGGUAAUGCUGACUAGUGUCUUUAUAUAAAUAAAAAUAUUACCCUUCUCUUC